CUUUUUAUGGUGUUAGCUGAUGAGAUAGGAUCUAGAGCUGUAAGUGCAGUCAUAUGAUGACCAUACACAGCUGAUGAUGAUUCAUGGGGUAUCAUGUGACAGAGAUGCAGCUACAAGAAGCCACAUGGAUUGCAGUUUCAGUGUGGAGAGACAUGGGUCCACAAAGGAUUUCUGAUUUCCCUUCAGCAAGGGCCAUUAGGACAAUCAACUGUAGCAGUACCAGUGUCAGCUUUAUAUGAUCCUGCCCUGACCUUGCCUGGGGUCAAGGUCACCUCUGUUGACCCUACAGCAGCAUUCUCCAGCUUCCCUCCACAAAUUUCUGCAACAAGCUGUAAUCCUGUGAGAUGUUGGGCUCUGGAAAGUCAUAAUGGACUGAUCACUAAUUAAUAUAACUCAGGAGAGUAUAUACAGUCGGAAAGUAACCCUGUGCUUGCUAUAUACUAUUCAUAUGAAGCAAAUGGUGGAUCUAGAGAAAACUAUCGGUCCUUACACAAGCACUCACCUGAGCCCAGGUUUUUCCCUGCCAGCUCUUAUUUUCUGGACACGUAUUGGCUGGUUUAAUAAACAACUCAACGUGGCAGCAUUCCUUAGAAUUUGUCCUCCCUGAACAAACAUAGACAAUUUUUAUAAAAUGUUCAUAAACACACAAAAUCCCCCAUGACACGAAAAUACACAGACUUUUAGAGACUUGGGGAAUAUGAUACAUGUACUAUUGUAGUUGUGAGGUAGAAAAAUUAAGUAAAAUGUUUACCCCCUCUAAUACACUUCCAUCUAUAUCGAUAAACUGAUGCUGUGACAUGUUGGUAAAAUGUGAUUUGAAUUGAUAAAUAUAUUGCACAACAGU
rnacentral:sRNA from 1 species